CCAGCACGGCCGGGCUGUGCCUGAGCUGCCGAGGGCAGCAGCAGUGCUCAGCCAUUGCCAUUAGUGCAAGUGAAUUUGGACAAGAGAUUCAGGCAUCGCUCGUUCUGCAACUCCUGUACACAGCCACGUGCAGCUCUGACUGCCUUAAUUCACAGCAUGCAGUGCCUACACGUCAAUUUGUAUGUUCUGAAGUUCAGACUGCACACAACACUGCUAGAAGCUUCUCCUUAGUUUCACAGGGUAAAGCCAAUACAACCCACAGGUCCGUCUGACAGCCCCAGGCCAUCAAACACACAGCAGCCCCGUACGCCUACAGAAGAUACCGUCU
rnacentral:lncRNA from 1 species